ensembl:snoRNA
CUCACCACUAUACCUGAUCAGAUCUGUUGGCUGCUAUAAUCCAGUGGUGAACUAAGGAUAAGCCUACCCCAGUGUAGGAAGCAAGGUUGUUCUUCAUGUAGAUGACUAUGUGUCAAAAGCAUAGGAAUAUCC